rnacentral:rRNA from 1 species
GACGUAGGGACCAAGCGUUGUUCGGAUUUACUGGGCGUAAAGGGCGCGUAGGCGGCGUGUUAAGUCACUUGUGAAAUCUCUGAGCUUAACUCAGAACGGUCAAGUGAUACUGAUGUGCUAGAGUGCAGAAGGGGCAACCGGAAUUCUUGGUGUAGCGGUGAAAUGCGUAGAUAUCAAGAGGAACACCUGAGGUGAAGACGGGUUGCUGGGCUGACACUGACGCUGAGAGACGAAAGCUAGGGGAGCGAAUGGG